CUUGACUUAACCAUAAGAGGUCCAGCCUGCCCAGUGACAUUGUUCAACGGCCGCGGUAUUCUAACCGUGCGAAGGUAGCGUAAUCACUUGUCCUUUAAAUGAGGACUAGUAUGAACGGCCACACGAAAGCUAUGCUGUCUCCUUUUUCUAAUCAGUUAAACUAAUCUCCCCGUGAAGAAGCGGGGAUGAUUAUAUAAGACGAGAAGACCCUAUGGAGCUUUAAACAAUUGAAACACUUGUACCCAUCUUCCACACUUCCGACAGCCUACGCUUAAUUUUACACUUUGUUUCUAGCUUUAGGUUGGGGUGACCACGGAGAAAAAACAAACCUCCACGCUGAAAGAGUUAAUCUCUAAACAAAAAGCUACAUCUUUAAGUAUUAAUACAUUAACCUGAAUUGACCCA
rnacentral:rRNA from 3 species